CCAGCUGCUUCCUAGAGCUGAUCUCUUAGCCCGAAAGGCCUCCUGCCCUGACCUCGCUCUAAUUCUCCCCUUUAAUCUCUUCCUGAUCUCCCCCCGCUUUGCCCCGAUCUCUCCCUGGUCCCCUCCUUCACUCCUGAUGCUCUGAUCUCUUAUCCCUGAUUCUACUUCUCCUGACCUUUGAUGCUCCCCAUGACCUGAUUGCUCUCCUGUAAUCGCCAAACCAACGAAACCCAGGACGAGGACUGGGGGACUGAUUGACCGUGGUUCCCUGGAUCCCUAAAUUUCCUAUCUCCGCAGGGUGCAGGUCUGUCAGUUCCUGACCCGGCGAGUUGCGAAGUAGGCUGGGAUUUGUAGUCCUGCGGUCUGUCCACGCCCCGCCCCCCCUCUGCCAGGGGCAGAGAGUCACAUGGGCCACCGGCUUGGGCCACGUAGCCAAGGCAUUUCUGAGAAAGACUACAGUUCCCAGAAGACUAUGGGCAUCGCUAGCCACCAGUUAAAGGACCCACACCCACAACACUCCCGCACGACCCCACGCUCGUGCUCUCAACGCCUUACCGACUGAGGAAAUUGAGAUCACAGCGCACUGGACGGAGGUUGCGGUAUAUCCAUGCUUCCCCAGCCUGAAGUAUUUUUGACCACGUCUUUGCGUACAGAGGGAGUGUACUCAACGUGGACCUCACUCUAAAAGGAUAAUUUUAAGUAAAUGAAAUUAGAACAAACUUUCCGUACUACUCUUAUUGGAAAGAACAGUUUUUAAAGAAAAAUAAAUAAUUUAACGAGGGAAAAGGAAGUGCGCCGCCCGGGAAUCGAACCCGGGUCGCAAGAAUGGGAAUCUUGCAUGAUACCACUACACCAGCGGCGCUGUCGCCUGUGACCUUGCCUCGAAACCUGAAGAGGUUACAGGGAGGGAUUUCUGUGUCAACGCGCCUGCGUGCUCUGAGCAACCUUUAGCAACUUUAGCAACUUUAGCAACUUGUCCUGGAUGAGUAAGACCGGAAUGACGUGGCAAUGCAAGGAUCCAAGACAACUCCAAAGGAUUCAUGAUAGAAAAUGCUAUCCACAUCCAGAAAAAGAACUAUGGAGUCUGAAUGCAGAUCAAAACAUAUUAUUUGCUCUCUCUCUCUUUUUUUUGUUUGUUUCUUCUUUCUCAUGGUUUCUCCCAUUGGCUCUAAUUCUUCUUUACAACAAGACUAAUGUAAAAAUAGGUUCAAUAUGAAUGUAGAGCCUAUAUCAAAUUGCAUGCUGUCUUGGGGUGGGGGGAAGGGAGAGAUGAAAAGAAAAUUUGGAACUCAAAAUCUCAUAGAAGUGAAUGUUGAAAACUAAAUAUGAAUAAAUAAUUUUUAAAAAAAGAAAUGAUGAGCA
rnacentral:tRNA from 1 species